rnacentral:rRNA from 1 species
GAUGAACGCUGGCGGCGUGCCUAAUACAUGCAAGUCGAGCGAACGGACGAGAAGCUUGCUUCUCUGAUGUUAGCGGCGGACGGGUGAGUAACACGUGGAUAACCUACCUAUAAGACUGGGAUAACUUCGGGAAACCGGAGCUAAUACCGGAUAAUAUUUUGAACCGCAUGGUUCAAAAGUGAAAGACGGUCUUGCUGUCACUUAUAGAUGGAUCCGCGCUGCAUUAGCUAGUUGGUAAGGUAACGGCUUACCAAGGCAACGAUGCAUAGCCGACCUGAGAGGGUGAUCGGCCACACUGGAACUGAAACACGGUCCAGACUCCUACGGGAGGCAGCAGUGGGGAAUCUUCCGCAAUGGGCGGAAGCCUGACGGAGCAACGCCGCGUGAGUGAUGAAGGUCUUCGGAUCGUAAAACUCUGUUAUUAGGGAAGAACAUAUGUGUAAGUAACUGUGCACAUCUUGACGGUACCUAAUCAGAAAGCCACGGCUAACUACGUG